CGCCUGUUUAUCAAAAACAUGUCUUUUUGAAAAUAAUUUAAAGUCUGGUCUGCCCACUGAUUAUAAAUAAUUAAAGGGCUGCAGUAUAUUGACUGUACAAAGGUAGCAUAAUCAUUAGUCUUUUAAUUGAUGACUUGUAUGAAUGAUCGGAUAAAAUAUAAACUGUCUCUUAAUAAAUUUAUAGAAUUUAAUUUUUUAUUUAAAAAGUUAAAAUAAUUUUAAAAGACGAGAAGACCCUAUAGAGUUUAAUAAUUUUGUAAAUUAAAAUUAUAUGUAUAAAUUUAAUUAAAAAUUAUAGAUUUAUUUUGUUGGGGUGAUAAAAAAAUUAAUUAAACUUUUUUUAAAAUUUAACAUAAAUAAUUGAAUAUUUGAUCCAAUUUUUUUGAUUAUAAGAAUAAAUUACCUUAGGGAUAACAGCGUAAUUUUUUUUUUUAGUUCUUAUAAAAAAAAAAGUUUGCGACCUCGAUGUUGGAUUAAGAUAAAAUUUAAAUGCAAAAGUUUAAAUUUUGAUCUGUUCGAUCAUUAAAAUCUUACAUGAUCUGAGUUCAAACCGGAG
rnacentral:rRNA from 1 species